rnacentral:tRNA from 2 species
CGGCAUUUAGCUCAGUUUGGCAGAGCAUCGGCUUUGGGAGUCGAGGGUCGAAGGUUCAAAUCCUUCAGUGCCGACCA